rnacentral:rRNA from 1 species
GGGUUGUGAGGUUAAGCGACUAAGCGUACACGGUGGAUGCCCUGGCAGUCAGAGGCGAUGAAGGACGUGCUAAUCUGCGAUAAGCGUCGGUAAGGUGAUAUGAACCGUUAUAACCGGCGAUUUCCGAAUGGGGAAACCCAGUGUGAUUCGUCACACUAUCAUUAACUGAAUCCAUAGGUUAAUGAGGCGAACCGGGGGAACUGAAACAUCUAAGUACCCCGAGGAAAAGAAAUCAACCGAGAUUCCCCCAGUAGCGGCGAGCGAACGGGGAGCAGCCCAGAGCCUGAAUCAGUAUGUGUGUUAGUGGAAGCGUCUGGAAAGGCGCGCGAUACAGGGUGACAGCCCCGUACACAAAAAUGCACAUGCUGUGAGCUCGAUGAGUAGGGCGGGACACGUGGUAUCCUGUCUGAAUAUGGGGGGACCAUCCUCCAAGGCUAAAUACUCCUGACUGACCGAUAGUGAACCAGUACCGUGAGGGAAAGGCGAAAAGAACCCCGGCGAGGGGAGUGAAAAAGAACCUGAAACCGUGUACGUACAAGCAGUGGGAGCACGCUUAGGCGUGUGACUGCGUACCUUUUGUAUAAUGGGUCAGCGACUUAUAUUCUGUAGCAAGGUUAACCGAAUAGGGGAGCCGAAGGGAAACCGAGUCUUAACUGGGCGUUAAGUUGCAGGGUAUAGACCCGAAACCCGGUGAUCUAGCCAUGGGCAGGUUGAAGGUUGGGUAACACUAACUGGAGGACCGAACCGACUAAUGUUGAAAAAUUAGCGGAUGACUUGUGGCUGGGGGUGAAAGGCCAAUCAAACCGGGAGAUAGCUGGUUCUCCCCGAAAGCUAUUUAGGUAGCGCCUCGUGAAUUCAUCUCCGGGGGUAGAGCACUGUUUCGGCAAGGGGGUCAUCCCGACUUACCAACCCGAUGCAAACUGCGAAUACCGGAGAAUGUUAUCACGGGAGACACACGGCGGGUGCUAACGUCCGUCGUGAAGAGGGAAACAACCCAGACCGCCAGCUAAGGUCCCAAAGUCAUGGUUAAGUGGGAAACGAUGUGGGAAGGCCCAGACAGCCAGGAUGUUGGCUUAGAAGCAGCCAUCAUUUAAAGAAAGCGUAAUAGCUCACUGGUCGAGUCGGCCUGCGCGGAAGAUGUAACGGGGCUAAACCAUGCACCGAAGCUGCGGCAGCGACGCUGAUGCGUUGUUGGGUAGGGGAGCGUUCUGUAAGCCUGUGAAGGUGUGCUGUGAGGCAUGCUGGAGGUAUCAGAAGUGCGAAUGCUGACAUAAGUAACGAUAAAGCGGGUGAAAAGCCCGCUCGCCGGAAGACCAAGGGUUCCUGUCCAACGUUAAUCGGGGCAGGGUGAGUCGACCCCUAAGGCGAGGCCGAAAGGCGUAGUCGAUGGGAAACAGGUUAAUAUUCCUGUACUUGGUGUUACUGCGAAGGGGGGACGGAGAAGGCUAUGUUGGCCGGGCGACGGUUGUCCCGGUUUAAGCGUGUAGGCUGGUUUUCCAGGCAAAUCCGGAAAACUAAGGCUGAGGCGUGAUGACGAGGCACUACGGUGCUGAAGCAACAAAUGCCCUGCUUUCAGGAAAAGCCUCUAAGCAUCAGGUAACAUCAAAUCGUACCCCAAACCGACACAGGUGGUCAGGUAGAGAAUACCAAGGCGCUUGAGAGAACUCGGGUGAAGGAACUAGGCAAAAUGGUGCCGUAACUUCGGGAGAAGGCACGCUGAUAUGUAGGUGAAGUCCCUCGCGGAUGGAGCUGAAAUCAGUCGAAGAUACCAGCUGGCUGCAACUGUUUAUUAAAAACACAGCACUGUGCAAACACGAAAGUGGACGUAUACGGUGUGACGCCUGCCCGGUGCCGGAAGGUUAAUUGAUGGGGUCAGCGCAAGCGAAGCUCUUGAUCGAAGCCCCGGUAAACGGCGGCCGUAACUAUAACGGUCCUAAGGUAGCGAAAUUCCUUGUCGGGUAAGUUCCGACCUGCACGAAUGGCGUAAUGAUGGCCAGGCUGUCUCCACCCGAGACUCAGUGAAAUUGAACUCGCUGUGAAGAUGCAGUGUACCCGCGGCAAGACGGAAAGACCCCGUGAACCUUUACUAUAGCUUGACACUGAACAUUGAGCCUUGAUGUGUAGGAUAGGUGGGAGGCUUUGAAGUGUGGACGCCAGUCUGCAUGGAGCCGACCUUGAAAUACCACCCUUUAAUGUUUGAUGUUCUAACGUUGACCCGUAAUCCGGGUUGCGGACAGUGUCUGGUGGGUAGUUUGACUGGGGCGGUCUCCUCCUAAAGAGUAACGGAGGAGCACGAAGGUUGGCUAAUCCUGGUCGGACAUCAGGAGGUUAGUGCAAUGGCAUAAGCCAGCUUGACUGCGAGCGUGACGGCGCGAGCAGGUGCGAAAGCAGGUCAUAGUGAUCCGGUGGUUCUGAAUGGAAGGGCCAUCGCUCAACGGAUAAAAGGUACUCCGGGGAUAACAGGCUGAUACCGCCCAAGAGUUCAUAUCGACGGCGGUGUUUGGCACCUCGAUGUCGGCUCAUCACAUCCUGGGGCUGAAGUAGGUCCCAAGGGUAUGGCUGUUCGCCAUUUAAAGUGGUACGCGAGCUGGGUUUAGAACGUCGUGAGACAGUUCGGUCCCUAUCUGCCGUGGGCGCUGGAGAACUGAGGGGGGCUGCUCCUAGUACGAGAGGACCGGAGUGGACGCAUCACUGGUGUUCGGGUUGUCAUGCCAAUGGCACUGCCCGGUAGCUAAAUGCGGAAGAGAUAAGUGCUGAAAGCAUCUAAGCACGAAACUUGCCCCGAGAUGAGUUCUCCCUGACUCCUUGAGAGUCCUGAAGGAACGUUGAAGACGACGACGUUGAUAGGCCGGGUGUGUAAGCGCAGCGAUGCGUUGAGCUAACCGGUACUAAUGAACCGUGAGGCUUAACCUUACAACGCCGAAGCUGUU